GGCGUGCUAUACAUGCAGUCGAACGCACAGCGAAAGGUGCUUGCACCUUUCAAGUGAGUGGCGAACGGGUGAGUAACACGUGGACAACCUGCCUCAAGGCUGGGGAUAACAUUUGGAAACAGAUGCUAAUACCGAAUAAAACUUAGUGUCGCAUGACAAAAAGUUAAAAGGCGCUUCGGCGUCACCUAGAGAUGGAUCCGCGGUGCAUUAGUUAGUUGGUGGGGUAAAGGCCUACCAAGACAAUGAUGCAUAGCCGAGUUGAGAGACUGAUCGGCCACAUUGGGACUGAGACACGGCCCAAACUCCUACGGGAGGCUGCAGUAGGGAAUCUUCCACAAUGGGCGAAAGCCUGAUGGAGCAACGCCGCGUGUGUGAUGAAGGCUUUCGGGUCGUAAAGCACUGUUGUAUGGGAAGAACAGCUAGAAUAGGAAAUGAUUUUAGUUUGACGGUACCAUACCAGAAAGGGACGGCUAAAUACGUGCCAGCAGCCGCGGUAAUACGUAUGUCCCGAGCGUUAUCCGGAUUUAUUGGGCGUAAAGCGAGCGCAGACGGUUUAUUAAGUCUGAUGUGAAAGCCCGGAGCUCAACUCCGGAAUGGCAUUGGAAACUGGUUAACUUGAGUGCAGUAGAGGUAAGUGGAACUCCAUGUGUAGCGGUGGAAUGCGUAGAUAUAUGGAAGAACACCAGUGGCGAAGGCGGCUUACUGGACUGCAACUGACGUUGAGGCUCGAAAGUGUGGGUAGCAAACAGGAUUAGAUACCCUGGUAGUCCACACCGUAAACGAUGAACACUAGGUGUUAGGAGGUUUCCGCCUCUUAGUGCCGAAGCUAACGCAUUAAGUGUUCCGCCUGGGGAGUACGACCGCAAGGUUGAAACUCAAAGGAAUUGACGGGGACCCGCACAAGCGGUGGAGCAUGUGGUUUAAUUCGAAGCAACGCGAAGAACCUUACCAGGUCUUGACAUCCUUUGAAGCUUUUAGAGAUAGAAGUGUUCUCUUCGGAGACAAAGUGACAGGUGGUGCAUGGUCGUCGUCAGCUCGUGUCGUGAGAUGUUGGGUUAAGUCCCGCAACGACGCACCCCUUAUUGUUAGUUGCCAGCAUUCAGAUGGGCACUCUAGCGAGACUGCCGGUGAGAAACCGGAGGAAGGCGGGGACGACGUCAGAUCAUCAUGCCCCUUAUGACCUGGGGUACCCCCUGCUACAAUGGCGUAACAACAAAUUGCCACCCGCG
rnacentral:rRNA from 1 species